CUAGCGACUUCAGAGUUUGAUCCUGGCUCAGGAUAAACGCUGGCGGCGUGCCUAAUACAUGCAAGUCGUACGCUGGAAGACCAAGCUUGCUUGGUUUGAAGGAGUGGCGAACGGGUGAGUAAUACAUAAGCAACCUGCCCACGAAGACUGGGAUAAUUCUUGGAAACGAGGACUAAUACCGGAUAGGUCAUCGGGAGGCAUCUUCUGAUGAUUAAAGGUGAGAAACACUGGUGGAUGGGCUUAUGGUGCAUUAGCUGGUUGGCGGGGUAACGGCCCACCAAGGCGAUGAUGCAUAGCCGGCCUGAGAGGGUGAACGGCCACAUUGGGACUGAGACACGGCCCAG
rnacentral:rRNA from 1 species